rnacentral:rRNA from 1 species
GACGAACGCUGGCGGCGUGCUUAACACAUGCAAGUCGAGCGGUAAGGCCCUUUCGGGGGUACACGAGCGGCGAACGGGUGAGUAACACGUGGGUGACCUGCCCUCAGCUCUGGGAUAAGCCUGGGAAACCGGGUCUAAUACUGGAUAUGACUCCAUGACGCAUGUUGUGGGGUGGAAAGCCUUGUGCGGCUGAGGAUGGGCCCGCGGCCUAUCAGCUUGUUGGUGGGGUGANGGCCUACCAAGGCGACGACGGGUAGUCGGCCUGAGAGGGCGACCGGCCACACUGGGACUGAGACACGGCCCAGACUCCUACGGGAGGCAGCAGUGGGGAAUCUUGCGCAAUGGGCGAAAGCCUGACGCAGCGACGCCGCGUGAGGGAUGACGGCCUCGG